UGGGGAAUAUUGCACAAUGGGGGAAACCCUGAUGCAGCGACGCCGCGUGAGCGAAGAAGGCUUUCGAGUCGUAAAGCUCUGUCCUAUGAGAAGAUAAUGACGGUAUCAUAGGAGGAAGCCCUGGCUAAAUACGUGCCAGCAGCCGCGGUAAUACGUAUGGGGCGAGCGUUGUCCGGAAUUAUUGGGCGUAAAGGGUACGUAGGCGGUUUUUUAAGUCAGGUGUCAAAGCGUGGAGCUUAACUCCAUUAAGCACUUGAAACUGAUAGACUUGAGUGAAGGAGAGGAAAGUGGAAUUCCUAGUGUAGCGGUGAAAUGCGUAGAUAUUAGGAGGAAUACCGGUGGCGAAGGCGGCUUUCUGGACUUUUACUGACGCUCAGGUACGAAAGCGUGGGGAGCAAACAGG
rnacentral:rRNA from 1 species